rnacentral:rRNA from 1 species
UAACUAAAGACUAACUUAUGCGAAAGCAUUUGCCAAGGAUGUUUUCAUUGAUCAAGAACGAAAGU